UUACGAGCAAGCAGUUCACCCAGAGACCAAACAGUGGUAGUAUAAUGAGCUGUCCAGCUAACUGAAUAGUCCCACAUCUAAAGAAUUACAUGAAUUCUAAAGGAGGAAAGAGUCUACGAAGCCUAUCAACUGACCAAAGCAAUAAGCACAGGGCGAGCUUCGGACUGAAUAUGCAGUGGGCAAUACAAUGCAAGUUCAGCAAAACGGAGUGAGGAAACUUGCACAACACAUCAAUUUCAUUGGUUCGGUGAUGGAGGAGCGUGCCGUUGUUUGCUAACCUAAAAAUGUAGGGACUCCAGAGAGGUAGAAAACUAGCAGGGCUCACUGGUGUCAGCUGCUUGAGAGAGGCCGUUCUCCUGGAAUGGCUUGUGUGAGGCCAUCAAGCAUACUCGUGGCCACCAUGACAGCUGCAGGACAAGAAAAUAGAUGGCCUUGUCUUUUCUCCAAGGGUUCUGGUGAGCCUCCUCUAUUUCCUGGCAUUCUGACAGGGGUCAUUGAUAUGUAUAAUUUGAUGAACUGGAUGUUGAUUAAAAAAAAAAAAAAAAGUAGGCCCUGGCAGUGACAUCACGAAGACUCAAUUUAUUUCAAUUUAAAUUUUAAUUCAUUUGCUAUUUAAGAAUAGCAUAGUUGGAGUUGGUAUUAUUGUGUUGUUAACUGUAUUUGAGUGAAUACAGCCACAUGAAGCUAUGUGGUUCCGAAAACAAAGACUUAGAGUACAUUUUACUUAUAGAAUAAUUUUUACCAGGUGGGCCAGUAAUUUCUUUUGAACAUUUGGCUAAUUCAUUCAGUGAAAUCAGUCAAGCUAGUAUAUAUUAAUUUGCCACAUUUUGUAUCCUCUUGGGACUUGUAUCCAAAGGCAAACUAUAAUGAAGCUGUUGAUAAAAAUAACCCAGUUCUAUGUUGUCUUAUCACUGGUGAUUAAGUGUGAAAGAACAGGUUGAUUGUCUGACCUCCUCUACUCAUUUUGAGAAGUUAUAUUGGAAUAGAAAUUCAUUUUUAGGACAUAUCUUGCGAAAAAAAUAUGGACAUUAAAAUAGAACACUGGAUUCAAGAACACGUGUAUCAUUAAAUAUAAACUGGGACUUCCAGCAGCCUUUAAAGGACAAAACCACCAACUCUGAGUUUAUUUUAUAAUUCAGAUUGGCAAUUAUGAAAUGCAUUGUCAGAGAUUUUUAUAUUUAACGAGAUUCCAUAGGAAAGACUUUGCAGAUACUGAUUCAACCUAGGAAUGCGAAGGAAAGACAAAGCAAGUCUAAGUGUCUUAGAAUGUGUAGGUUUGGAGAAUGAGACUGGGCUAGUGCUCUGCAAAAUCUACUUGUUUAGAUAGAUUUUUCCCUAAGCCAUAGAGAGAUGUUUGAGUGGGUUAUCAGUCUUUUAUCUUUGACAUUUUAUUAUUUAGUUUUAAUGCUAAAAUAUUUUAUUGUACAUGAGCCUAGAGGUUUUCUACUUUGAUAUGUUUAUAAGACAGAAUAAUAAAUAAAUGAUGAUUUAGUCCA
rnacentral:lncRNA from 12 species